rnacentral:rRNA from 1 species
UAGGGAAUCUUCGGCAAUGGACGGAAGUCUGACCGAGCAACGCCGCGUGAGUGAAGAAGGUUUUCGGAUCGUAAAGCUCUGUUGUUAGAGAAGAACGUUGGUAGGAGUGGAAAAUCUACCAAGUGACGGUAACUAACCAGAAAGGGACGGCUAACUACGUGCCAGCAGCCGCGGUAAUACGUAGGUCCCGAGCGUUGUCCGGAUUUAUUGGGCGUAAAGCGAGCGCAGGCGGUUCUUUAAGUCUGAAGUUAAAGGCAGUGGCUUAACCAUUGUACGCUUUGGAAACUGUAGGACUUGAGUGCAGAAGGGGAGAGGGGAAUUCCAUGUGUAGCGCUGAAAUGCGUAGAUAUAUGGAGGAACACCGGUGGCUAACUCGGCUCUCUGGUCUGUAACUGACGCUGAGGCUCGAAAGCGUGGGGAGCAAACAGG